rnacentral:lncRNA from 1 species
GCUGCACCAUCUCCGCAUUGAGGACCAGGUCAGGGGCGGCUGCGGAGGAUGGCAUGCUGGUCAACAAGGCAAGAGACCCCUCCCCAGGGCUUCUACUUCUGAUUCUUGAGCUGGGACAAACCCCCUCUCCUGCCUACCGCCACCUUCUGGAAUGACUCAAGGGCUCCUCAAGGUUACCUUCUUGUUUAGCAAGACCCUGAAUUCCUCUUUUCCUCUGCUGUGAGUCCUCUUUGACAACUCUUCAGUUAUCGGUGCAGAUGAGCGAGAUGUUAAAAUCUCACACACCUGGUCCUAGGCUACGAGCGAAGCACAGAUCAUGGUACGUUAACAGAUCCUGUGCCUCAUAAGCACUGAAUGUGAGUGAUGAGCACGUGGGGGUUGAUUAUAUUAUUCUACUUCAAGUGGCUUCAAGUUUUCCAUAAUAAAAUGCAAAAACAACAAUAACGAUGUGAUUGUGCUACCCAGAGAGAAAGAACACCUCUAAUACCUUGGUCUGCUGCUUCUGGGAAUGAUGUAUUUUCCAACAUGUAUAAUAUUGUCUGUGGAUUUAUGGUGCACUAAUACAGUUCCCCUUAAAAUACAUCUUCACAUAUUUUCACAUUGACAUAUAUCCAUUACAGCACAUUCAUUUCAUGGCUACAUAAGAUUUAAUUCCUAGCUCUAGCUCAUAUUUUUAGAUAUAUUGGCUGUUUGGAAUUUUUCACUUACAAGCUGUGAUAAAUACCCUGUAGUAAAUCUGUGCAUAUAACUUAUUUUUUUCUUUAGAAUAUAUCUCUGUAAGUGAAAGUGCUAGGAGAAAGCAUUGUCUGUUUUUAAG